rnacentral:rRNA from 1 species
AACGAACGCUGGCGGCGUGCCUAACACAUGCAAGUCGAACGGUGAGGUCGUGCAUAGGUGCGCACGGCGGCGGAAGGCCGGGGGAGCUGCACUUGGGUUCGGUAUAACAGUGAGAAAUUGCUGCUAAUACCGGAGGGGGUCUUCGGACAAAAGAUUUAUCGCCCAGGGAUGAGCGCUGGUAGGAUUCGUUGGUUGGGGGGGUAAUUGCCGACCAAGGGGACGAUGCUUGGCUGGUCUGAGAGGAUGGUCCGGUGGACUGGGACUGAGACACGGGCCCGUCCCGUACGGAAGGGAGCAGUGGGUAAUACUGUACACUGGGCGCUAGUCUGACAACGCAACGUCGCGGGAGAGAUGCAGGGCUUAGGGUUGUAAAGCUCUUUUACCCGGGAUGAUAAUGACAGUACCGGGAGAAUAAGCUCCGGCUAACUCCGUG